ensembl:rRNA 5S_rRNA 5S ribosomal RNA
GUCCACGGCCAUGCUAGCCUGAAUGCGCCUGAUCGUUUGAGAUCUUGGAAGCUAAGCAGGUUAGGUUCUGGUUAGUACUUGAAUCAGAGGGUGUACC